ncrna:unclassified sequences DTF3800-VIII RNA
UUAUGCCUGCCCAGUCGAAGCCCUGCGUCCCUACGUGGGGUAUUUAGUAGGCUGGGUGGGCCGCA